GUUAGUCCUUCUGAGCAGAUACCCUCAUUCACCAGCCGGCUGCUAUUACUUGGGUCCCUGCCGUGCUUGUGUUAUUUAUAUACAGCCCCUCACAAUAGAUACAAAGAGAGCUCACAAUGCCUUGUUUCAAAUGUUAUCCAAUCACAAGGAGACACUAACCCAAGCUAUUAACAUUGAGCUGGAAAUGCAUAUUUUAAUACUUUAUCUUUAUUUUUUUCAUUAUUUCUUGGACUACUGUCCAUUUAUAUUUAAAAUAAAAUUCAUACCUUACAUUUUAGAUUGGAAUAAGAAAUAGAUCUGCCACUAUGUUUUUUUUUUGUUUUGUUUUCUUGUUAAAACUUACAUCUCUUAUUGCCAAGAGAAAGACUGG